CUUCAGCGAGCCGAGCCACAGGGGCUGCCCCUCCGGCCGGCUGCGGCCGUAGGUGGCGAGCAGGGCCUGGGCCUC
rnacentral:antisense_RNA from 1 species